rnacentral:rRNA from 1 species
GUUCCUACGGGGGGCAGCAGUAGGGAAUCUUCCACAAUGGACGAAAGUCUGAUGGAGCAACGCCGCGUGAGUGAAGAAGGGUUUCGGCUCGUAAAGCUCUGUUGGUAGUGAAGAAAGAUAGAGGUAGUAACUUGCCUUUAUUUUACUGUAAUUACUUAGAAAUUCACUUCUAACUACUUUCCAUCAGCCGCUUUAAUACGUAUUUGGCAAGCGUUGUCCGGAUUUAUUGUGCGUAAAGCGAGUGCAGG